rnacentral:rRNA from 1 species
GACGAACGCUGGCGGCGUGCUUAACACAUGCAAGUCGAACGGAAAGGCCCUGCUUUUGUGGGGUGCUCGAGUGGCGAACGGGUGAGUAACACGUGAGUAAUCUGCCCUUGACUUUGGGAUAACUUUGGGAAACUGGGGCUAAUACCGGAUAGGAGCUCCUGCUGCAUGGUGGGGGUUGGAAAGUUUUGGCGGUUGGGGAUGGACUCGCGGCUUAUCAGCCUGUUGGUGGGGUAGUGGCUUACCAAGGCUUUGACGGGUAGCCGGCCUGAGAGGGUGAACGGCCACAUUGGGACUGAGAUACGGCCCAGACUCCUACGGGAGGCAGCAGUGGGGAAUAUUGCACAAUGGGCGGAAGCCUGAUGCAGCAACGCCGCGUGCGGGAUGACGGCCUUCGGGUUGUAAACCGCUUUCGCCUGUGACGAAGCGCGAGUGACGGUACUGGGUAAAGAAGCACCGGCUAACUACGUG